rnacentral:misc_RNA from 1 species
AUGCAAGCUCUAAAUCCUUCCAUUUGCACCAUGAUCUUCACAAAUUCCUUCUUUAAAGUUAGUCCUCACACCUUGGGAAAUCUAUAGGCAGUAAAAGGAAGAAGAAAUCUUGAAGUUUUACAAGCUUGAGAAAUUCUUGAAACAAGGUUAGUGUAUAAUCUUUCUUCCUUUCUUUGUUAGGUCUUGAAUUGAGGUUGAUGUGAAGUGAAUUAUGCUUGAAAUCA